rnacentral:rRNA from 1 species
UACGGGGGGGGGCAAGCGUUGUUCGGAAUUACUGGGCGUAAAGGGCUCGUAGGCGGCCAACUAAGUCAGACGUGAAAUCCCUCGGCUUAACCGGGGAACUGCGUCUGAUACUGGAUGGCUUGAGUUUGGGAGAGGGAUGCGGAAUUCCAGGUGUAGCGGUGAAAAUGCGUAGAUAUCUGGAGGAACACCGGUGGCGAAGGCGGCAUCCUGGACCAACACUGACGCUGAGUGAGCGAAAGCCAGGGGAGCAAAACCGGG